rnacentral:lncRNA from 1 species
AUGGCAAUUUACAUCCACCAGCUCUUCCUCAUGGCUGCUGAUUUAACGCUGGCCUCCGCCGUCUCCUGUGCUCUGUAUGGACUAGCCUGUGUAUCUGUUGCCAGUCUUGUGGGUUUGCUGUUCUUCCUGCUUUCUGUUGGUGCUAUAAAGUGUGUGAAGAGGACCAUUGCCCGAAAAGUCAAUACCAUCCAGACCUUGGUUUCUAAAAGCACCCUAGGAAGUUUGCUUUUGAGGAAACGAGACCAAACGGGGCUCGGAGAAUUGGCAGUGGCCCAUGCCCCUGAGAAAGGCAGGGAUUUUGAACUGGAAAAGGAGUGUUCUUCAAACAUGGAAGUGGCACAACUGCAAGAGACGAAGGAGAAAUGUCAGAAGGCAAGGCACACCCUGACUGAAAGACCGCUCUCUCUGAAAGCGGUCUUCAUUGCCCUUCUCUGGACUCCAGUUGAAAUAAUGUGCCCAUGUCUGAAGAAGAGAAUUUAUCAGUUUCUUGAUGCACUGCAGAAAUCAGAAGACUGACAG